rnacentral:rRNA from 2 species
UCUCCUGGAAAAGGGUGGUAAUGCCGGAUGCUCCAGUUGAUCGCAUGGUCUUCUGGGAAAGCUUUCGCGGUAUGGGAUGGGGUCGCGUCCUAUCAGCUUGACGGCGGGGUAACGGCCCACCGUGGCUUCGACGGGUAGCCGGCCUGAGAGGGCGACCGGCCACAUUGGGACUGAGAUACGGCCCAGACUCCUACGGGAGGCAGCAGUGGGGAAUAUUGCACAAUGGGCGCAAGCCUGAUGCAGCGACGCCGCGUGAGGGAUGGAGGCCUUCGGGUUGUAAACCUCUUUUAUCGGGGAGCAAGCGAGAGUGAGUUUACCCGUUGAAUAAGCACCGGCUAACUACGUGCCAGCAGCCGCGGUAAUACGUAGGGUGCAAGCGUUAUCCGGAAUUAUUGGGCGUAAAGGGCUCGUAGGCGGUUCGUCGCGUCCGGUGUGAAAGUCCAUCGCUUAACGGUGGAUCCGCGCCGGGUACGGGCGGGCUUGAGUGCGGUAGGGGAGACUGGAAUUCCCGGUGUAACGGUGGAAUGUGUAGAUAUCGGGAAAGAACACCA